rnacentral:lncRNA from 1 species
UGCACAUGCCUGUAGCAAAAAGUCUAAAGCCCAGAAAUGGUGUUUAGCAGCUUAUCUUAUCUACAGAUAAGCUCAUAAAAAUGUACUGACACGUUAAAAACAGGUUUUAAAGUUCUUGGCAAACAUCUUGGGCUUUUUAUUCUUUUCUUUGCUGCAGUACAAAAAUACCAUUUCAAUUAUUCUUAUUAGCUUUUUCUGGUCUUUUUGGAAAAGGACCAAAUUAUUGAUGGGUGUUUUUAGCUGUUAAUUGUGCCUCAAGUGCUAAACUUAUUCCUGCUAUUUGUUUGCAAUAUGUUUAGGCUAUGUUUAGGCAAAUGCAAGUGUAAGUGGUUAUUCAGUGCCUUAGCACUGUGAACAGAAUGUACUGAACUCCUGGGGCUUGGUACAAAGCCUCAGCCUCCAGCACUAACAAAGCCUGUACAGGCAGCAGCUAAAAUAGGAGAACUACCUAGGCUUGACAGAGGGGGUUCAGAAGAUCUGGGAAGACCAUGAAUCAUGUGCCUAGCUUUUCUUCUAUGGAGUGGGUAAACGAAAUAAGGGCAAUUUUGCCCAUGUCCUGUUAGGUGAGGGUGCUCCGGGGGUCUGAGCAUGCUCAGCCUGUACUGCUGGGGCCAGCUCAGCAGCAAGGUUCCUCUGGGCGUGCUGACAGCCCAGUGCUCCUGGAGGAUGAGGGAGGCUUUCCCUGGCAGCUCCGCAGCGCUGGAAGCAAAGCGAGCCCCGGUGCCCAGCCUGCUGCGCGGUCACUGGCAGCAGCUCGGGAUUUCUGCACUUGUUUGCUCGUUACCCAAUCUAUUUCAAGCUGUGAUGGAAUAAGGAUGGCAUUUGAUUGCAGUACUGCUUGGCUUUUGUAACCCGUGUUUUAGAUGGGAGGUUUUUCUUUGUGUGCUUUUGUCUUCAAACAACUUCAGACUGGAAGGUUUAGGCUUGGUGCUCUCUGCUGGCCUUUGCUGUGGCCUGGUGAGACAGCUCACGACUCUCACUCCAGAGGGGGCCGGGUUAGAGCUGCACAUACAAAUACCAGAUUUGGGGCAACUGUGUACCUGAUUCAUGCACACAAAUAUCUGAUACCUGCAACACCCCAGGAGUGGAGCCCUCUCCCUGCCCUGAAAGCCCAGGGGCUGCUGAGCCAUUGUGCAGGCUGGUGCUGCAUGUGUGUCCGACAAUCACCUUCUGCACAAAGUGAAAUUUCAGCUGAUGAAACCUCCACCUGUGUGUAA